GUUAAAUACAUAGAUAUAUUAAUUUUUGGGUCAGGUCCAAGUUCAGGUCCGGGAUAGCAAAACUGACCUGACCUGUGGCCACCUCUAACGUCCAAGCCCUAUUUCCCCGUUGUGGCUCCUAUUCAGGGAGUCCAUAGAAAUUAACCAAAAAAAGAAAAAACUUGUUGAAAUCGGCUGAGCGAUUUUUUUUAACGUUGUUUCUUAGUGCUAUCAGGUAACAUUUCAGCAUUUUAAGUUUUGUUACUCUUUUCACUGUAUAUGUAUUCUAAGGAGUCAGGCUUGAAGUUUUGUCACUCUUCUGUUUUUUUCUUUUGUUUUUUAACUAUAUAUAUAUGCAAGUCAAGGAGUCAGGCUUUUACUCGAGUGGUGGUUAACUAUAUAUGCAAUCUAUGGAGUCAGGCUUUUGCUUGAGUGGUGGCAAUUGACGUUUAGCAGCACCUGCAUUUUUUAUUUUUUUGGGGUGAUUUAGUGGGAUGACAGGUCUACCGAGUCAGGGUUGGGCUUGUGUGUGACGCAGCAUAUUUUAAUUUAAUUUAUUUAUUUUUGGGUAGUUCAUUUGGAAGAUAGGUUCUUACCCGUUUUUCAAGUGGUUUAGGAGUUUGUUUUUUUAAUAUAUUAGUAGGGUGUUGUCAAUAGAAAUUGGAAUUUCAAGUGGUUUAGGAGUUUGUUUUUUUAAUAUAUUAGUAGGGUGUUGUUAAUAGAAAUUGGAAACCACAACGUCGUGAUUAGCGUGUGGGGUGCUAUUAUAACCCAGCCCCCCUUCCC
rnacentral:lncRNA from 1 species